rnacentral:rRNA from 1 species
CCUACGGGUGGCAGCAGUGAGGAAUAUUGGUCAAUGGACGAGAGUCUGAACCAGCCAAGUAGCGUGAAGGAUGACUGCCCUAUGGGUUGUAAACUUCUUUUAUAAAGGAAUAAAACGAUCCACGUGUGCCUUUUUGCAUGUACUUUAUGAAUAAGGAUCGGCUAACUCCGUGCCAGCAGCCGCGGUAAUACGGAGGAUCCGAGCGUUAUCCGGAUUUAUUGGGUUUAAAGGGAGCGUAGGCGGGUAUUUAAGCGUGCAGUGAAAUUUUGGGGCUCAACCGUGAGAGUGCAGUGGAAACUGGAGACCUUGAGUACGGGGAAGGCAGGCGGAAUUCGUGGUGUAGCGGUGAAAUGCUUAGAUAUCACGAAGAACCCCGAUUGCGAAGGCAGCCUGCCGGAGCGUAACUGACGCUGAGGCUCGAAAGCGCGGGUAUCGAACAGGAUUAGAUACCCCAGUAGUC